rnacentral:lncRNA from 1 species
GGUUAAUAUCCUGGAGUUGCAUGACAGAAAGGAAGAGAAGAAUCAUGGGAAGGUAAAUAAUUUGGCAUUAAAAAAGGAAAGUUCAAUCAAGUCAACAUGAGGUAUGUGGAUUUAUAUGCUCUCCUACUUGCUGUAUGACAUAUUCCCAUACUUCAAUAGCAUUUACCAGAAUGGAAAUAAAUAUAUAGGAUGGGCACUGCUUUCAGAAUUUUAAUUUUGGUACCAGCGCUGUAGGUCAUGAACCCUGCUUCAAUGGACCCACAAUACAAAUAAAUAAAUAAAGAAAUAGACUAAUGCACUCUGUAAUACCGGUAAAAAGGAUUGUUUUUUUUUUCUUGGAAUUUAUAAUAAAUAGCAAUGAGAGUGUUAAUUCUUUAACCCCUUAAAGGACCACUAUAGUGCCAGGAAAACACACUCAUUUUCCUGGCACUAUAGUGCCCUGAGGGUGCCCCCACCCUCAGGGUACCCCUCCCGCCCGGCUCUGGAAGGGGGAAAGGGGUAAAAACUUACCUUUUUCCAGCACUGGGCGGGGAGCUCUCUGCCCCCUCUCCUCCUCCGAUCCGCCCCAUCGGCUGAAUGCGCACGCGCGGCAAGAGCUGCGUGCACUUUCAGCCGGUCGCAUAGGAAAGCAUUCAUAAUGCUUUCCUAUGGACGCUUGCGUGCUCUCGCUGUGAUUUUCACAGUGAGAAGCACGCAAGCGCCUCUAGCGGCUGUCAAUGAGACAACUGCUAGAGGCUUCUCUGAAACUGCUAUGUUUAUAAAACAAUGGGUUAACCCUAGAAGGACCUGGCACCCAGACCACUUCAUUAAGCUGAAGUGGUCUGGGUGCCUAGAGUGGUCCUUUAAGGACCAAACUUCUGGAAUAAAAAGGAAUCAUGACAUGUCACACAUGUCAUGUGUCUUUAAGGGGUUAAAGGAACACCAUAGUCACCAGAACAACUACAGCUUAUUGAAUUUGUUCUGGUGAGUAGAAUCAUUACCUUCAGGCUUUUUGCUGUAAACACUGUCUUUUCAGAGAAAAUGCAGUGUUUAUAUUACAGCCUAGUGAUAACUUCACUGGCCACUCCGCAGAUGACUGUUGGAGAUCCUUCCUGGGUCAUGGCUCCCUAAAAUGCAUCCAAACAUUCAGUAUCUCCUCCCUUUGCAUGCAGACACUGAACUUUCCUCAUAGAGAUUCAUUGAUUCAAUUUGAUUCAAUCUGAUUGGACAGGGCUGUGUGUAAAUCAUGCUGGCUCUGCCCCUGAUCUGCCUCUUUGUCAGUCUCAGCCAGUCCUAUGGGGAAGCACUGUGAUUGGAUCAGGCUACCACUUCUGAUGAUGUCAGCAGACAGCUUGUUUUUCUGAGGCAAACAGCAUGCAGACCUUCAGCUGCAGGCUUAAAUACAGUACGAUUUUGCUAUAUUUAUGGAGGCAUGAGGGGCCCUGUGGGGCUAGAAGGUGGUUUUAAGACAAUAGGGUGAGGAAUACAUGUUUGUGUUCCUGACCCUAUAGUGAUCCUUUAAUUACAUUACGGUCUAUUCAUUGCACCUGUUAUUUGCACUUUAUUGGUUUGUCAAUAUGAUUUUUCACUGAAACUAUAAUGCUGUCAUGGACUCAGGGUUGCAAGGUAGAGGUUCUGCUUGCUUUUGUAGGAAUUUUACAUGGGGCAUUUGUUGUUUCAUAUUGUUUGAAUUUCAUGGACAAAAUGGAACAGAGUGUUUGUUUGUUUUGGUGGGGCUAACUUAAUUACAGCAAGAAAAAAUAAGGGAUUAUAGGAAGAACUGGAUGGGGAACAGUUUGCUCUGUUAAUGACCCUAUUGCACGGAUAUGACCCUCUGUGGGUAUAUACCUCUGCACAGCUGCAAUAAAGUAAGUUCUGUCUAACCUCAACAUAUAGUCUCCACUCGAUGGUGUAGGGUAAAGGAUAUAAUCACUCCCUAUGUUUCACUCCUGAAUACUGCUCAGAGUACUUUGACAUGGGCAUUUGAGUGCUCCCAAACAUCACAGAAUACUUCAACUCAGCAAGGAGAUAAAGGAUGGUCCGAAAAAAGCCUAGAAAGACAAUAAGUAACGGGGGUACUCAGCCCGAAUACCCGCAGGCCGUUACAAAUGCACUUUCUCUUAUAGCUUAAUAAAGACACACACCUUGUCAAAACAUUGCCUGCCUGGUUGGGUGGCUGAAUAAACCAAUAUUACAGCAACAUAAAAAAAAUAAAUAAAAAAAACAUACAAUAACCAAUAGGUGUGCGCUUCAAAUAAUAAUAUUAAUUUGAGCCCAAAGUUUUGAAAAAGCAGAAAACAUUUAAAAUAAAAUACAUCAUAUAGUGCAAAUUCAAAGUCCAAAAUACUAUGAAUUGACAGACAUACGCUAAUAAAAGUGUACUUGUAUCUUUAAGAUGCUCAAAUAAAAAAUAAAAAAAAUGUGAAAAAAGAACACGUCUAUUUGUUCACAAAUGAUGCAAUAAAUAAUAAUAACCAAAUGUAACAAAAGAACUUCCCAUUUAAACAUUACUAUAUAUGUAAAAGACUAAGAAAUGUUAUUAUUUGCAACAAAACAUAAUAUCGAAACAAAGGACAUGGAACCAUGAUCUGAUGGUACAAGAAACGUACAAGAAACCAGAGUCCAGACUCGUCUCUGAUACACAUGCACAGAGCAAAGGAAGUUCCCCAAUCAAAAUAGAAAAAGCCAACACUUGGAACACCGUCCACAUAAUCCACCUCAGCGCUGUGGUCUCAAUAACUGCCCCAAUUGCCCAUUCUGUACCUAGUGCUUUCUCCAGUCGAUGGGGAGAUCAUGUUAAUAAAGUCUUACUUACCUCAAAGUCCCCUUCCCCCUCACGUUUUCAAUGAAUGUAACCAAAGGUUCACUAACCAUUUAAGCAAUCCAUUCAUAGGGAUAAAUCAACUGCACAGAGACUUCUCUGGUCAUAAAAAAAAGCAAAGAGAUCAUAAAAUAAUAUGCAUUUCUCCCAAAACAGUGUCUAAUACCUAUAUGACAACAUUGCAUUUGCCAACAUAUAUGGCACAAAUAUUGAUGUGAUACCCAAAACAGAAAAUAUAUAUCAAAUCUAUAUAGAAAAUAAUUAAAUACAUGUGUAUGUGUGUGUAUAUAUAUAUAUAUAUAUAUAUAUAUAUAUAUAUAUAUAUAUAUAUAUAUAUAUAUAUAUGCAAAGAGCUAUACUGGGUUACUGCUGAUUAAUAAAGGCACAGCUCUUCUGAAUAUUGAAUUAGACAUGUGCAGUAGAGAAAACAAUGUAUGCCAAAUCUUUCUCCUAACUAUCCCUUCCAAAACACCAAGGCAUAAUAAAAUAGAGAUCAAUAAAGUACUUGCUAGAACAUGAUGGAAAUACAAUGUUGGUACAAUGUGAUAAUAUCCUACCUUUCCAUUCACAAAAUCCAUAUGGCAAUAUUAAUGAUGUUUUCAACAAAAUACAAUACACUAUCAUGAUACAAACUAAAACACGACAAUAUAUAUUAACAAAUAACCUGUUAAAAAAAAAAAAACGGCACAGAAAAACCCCCAAAAAUAAAUCUAUAAAUGCCAUGAUGUAAAAUACAUGUCAUGAUAGAGAGUAUGAAGAGAGGUCCCAUGAAUCAUAUGUGAUGGACAAAAAUAUUAUAAACCUACAACAGAAAAUAAAAAAAUCAUAGGAAAUGACAAAGCUCAAUAUCAGCAUCGAGACCAGGGGUGCCCAAAAGGUAGAACCCCAGAACUACAACUCCCAUGAUGCUUUGCUUAUCUUUAGAAUGACACAGUAUUAUGGAAUCUGUAGUUUUAAAACAUCUGGGGAGCUACUUUAUGGGCAUCCCUGCUCUAGAUAAUGUUUCUAAAGUAUAAAUCCAGCGCAUUUCUUGUUGACCGAAUCUUAUUUCGGAGUUCUCUCUUCUUCAGUGUUUAGUUCUCUCUAUUCCAACAAACUAGAUAACUAGGGUAACUAUUCUGAUUUUACCGGCACAUUAUGGUGAGGAAGCUCCAUUUUAAUAUUCCUAACAUGUUCCUCAACAAGUGUAUAAAGUGGUCUAACAUAACCACGGUGAAAUAAAAUCCACUUGGUCAAUUUAAAAAUGUCUCUUCUCUACGUCUUUGUUGGUUCUUUGUAAUUUUUACUUAAAAUCUAUUUGCGAUUCGUACUUCCUCUAAACGUGAUUUUGGCAAAAGUCAGAAUAACAUUUACAAUAGAAUCAUUGGAUGAUAUAGUAUGUUAGGGUUUUUCAAUAAUGAAUUUUAUAGUCCCACUAUUACCUGAAUGGUUGAAAAUUAAAAGGACAAAAUCCAGAGUAUUCGGAUUCUUGGUUUUAUAUCAAAGUAACCAAAUCAUGUUGAGCCAUCCCUACAUCAUUCGAAAAUACAUUUCUGUAUCCAUGCAAAAUGUGUUUAAUUGUUACAAUCUGCCUACACAAUGUUGCAGUCUUAUUCAUUAUUUACCAAGAUGGACACAUUAUUAAACCAAAAAUAGAAAUGGCAAAAUGACGUAUUUAUUAAAAAAACAAACAGUAUGUGGAAGCCUUAAUACCAAUGUCUUUAACUACCUCAAGUAGAGUCUAUUUAAAGGGGCACUUAUGCAAUCUAACAUUCUUAAAAGCACUAAGUAAUCUAAUCUGUAAUAAAGAGAUGGCAUGUCAUUGUGUCCUUAACGAGGUCACAUUGCGCUCUAGGUAUAGUGAAUAAGACAGAACAUUUUGUAUUCUUCAUGGCAACAAGACACUUAAUAGGAACAUUGAGCCAUAAAAUUGUUCUCUUGGAUUGAAAAUUCAAGAAAUCAUUAUUUUUUAUUGAUCCUGCUUGUUAAAGUGUGGAGGCACUGAAGUGAACACGUUUAUCUGAAUAUACCUCAAUGUGCAUUAGUGCCGGUUAUCACGAAGAGGAACGGCAUACAAUCAUAUUACCAAUUUAUUAGGAGCUAAGAAGCAAUUAUUUGCUUCUAACUGAACUUGUGUAACAAUAACAAAUGUCAUAUCUGAAAGCAUGUCUGGGCGAUCAAUAGAGACUAAGAGACAAGAGAGUGGUCAUAUAGCAAGACCAUUAGCCCUCAAAGAAAUAUAUAUAUUUUUUUUUAAAUCAUUAUUAUCUUCUAAUCGUCUACAGCCUCAUCCAUUAUCUCCAAAUUUACUAACUCCUCUUUUCCUUCUAACACAUAAGUGUAGAGCAGACACAAGUGGUUCGAGAGUUCUACUUAAUGAAAUGAUUUAGUAGUGACUGCUGAAAGUGGUAGACAAAAGGUUUUAGUUCACAGCUGAAGCUUCCAGAAUUUGUACAAGAUCCAAAUCAAAAAACAUGAAAUCGGAAGUUGCACAUCUAACAUAUCCAUUUGUGCAGGAUUGAUAUUACGACUAUGCCCAUUGACCACUGAGCCUGUGAAUUACUGAAGUCAAUAAUGACAAUGAAUGUACCGGAGGGUACACAACAUAAAUAUACAUGAAUUAAUAGUGAGAGGUGCCCAGGGCAAAACCAAUACUAAACAAUAAAACACAGGAGCACCCUGGAGGGUUGAAACAUUGAUGUAAAGCUCUGAACUGUUUGAAUACACUUUUGAAAAACCGAGAGAGUGGUCCUGUCCUUAAUUUGUUUAUACUUUGCAUGGAAGCACCCGGAUACUUUUUGCUUUAUUAUUUUUGUCGGGGUUGAGUGCCAGAACCUGGAAUAUAUACAUAUACAUACAUACAUACAUAUAUAUAAAAAAAAUAGAAAUUAAUUCCUGCACUCACGCUGAAUUUCCCUUCACGACCGGGUGCCAACCAUAUAUAGCCAAAAAAUAUACAUUAAUGGUUGCACUCACGGUUUUUCCAAUUAAAAGUCCAAAGUUUAUUGUCAAUUCAUAAAAGCUGCGAUCAACGUUUCAGUCCUACCAAGAGGACUUUCAUCAGGAUCAUAAAAACCUUUAUGAUCCUGAUGAAAGUCCUCUUGGUAGGACUGAAACGUUGAUCGCAGCUUUUAUGAAUUGACAAUAAACUUUGGACUUUUAAUUGGAAAAACCGUGAGUGCAACCAUUAAUGUAUAUUUUUUACAUACAUACAUACAUAUAUAUAUAUAUAUAUAUAUAUAUAUAUACACACACACACACACACACACACACACUCACAGAUACAUACACACACACACACUUGAUUAAAAAUCAAAAAUACAUAGUAUUGACUUUAGAUCAUAUGCCAAAAUACAAAAAUGUAUAGAUGUAUCUUACGCAAAAGCACGGACUGCUACAAUAUACAUCAGAGUAAUUAAAGCAUUAUACAGUACGGUUCUUAGAAAGUACAAGGAUAUAUUGAUCUACAUACCAGUCAUUUAGGUCACAACAAUGAAGUGAAAGAAGAAAAUUAUAACCGACAGGUAUGCACUUCAAAUGAAUUGUUGUACUUUCAUCUAACUAUUCUGUAGAAUACUUUAUUAAUUACUUUGAUGUAUAUUACAGCCGUUUGUACUUUUCAACAAGGUGUGUGUUUAUUUUUUAUUUUUUUUUGGAUUUUUGUUACCAGUGAGAGUACUUCUGUUUUAUGAAUUUCCAAUAAGUUUUUUGUUUUUUCUAUAUAGUUAAGUCAAACCUUCUUAUAAACGGAUCCUACACGUAGUCUUACACAACUGGGGAGAGAUUUCUAAAAGUGCUGUGAUAAGUGGUACAAAGUUUUAAAGAGUGUGGCAAUCACCAUGGAAACCAACAGUAUCACUAUACAAUUUAUAUUCAUUUGACCCCCAUGGUGCCUGCCAUACAUUCAUAUGGCAAGUUGGAAGUAAUGCCCAGGUUUGUAUUUACUUACGGCAUUUUCGGAAGAGAUGCUGAGACUAAUUACAUUGCCCUUCAAUAGCUUUUACUAAAGUGAAAAAAUUAGGGGAUGUCGACAGUUCCUCCAUAAAAGAAAUAAUGCAGGGAACAAAUGAUUUUUUUGCUGCUCAAAACAAGGUUCAUUCUUGACAUCUAUGAUGUAUCAAUUAUUAUAUUCCUGUGUUAGUGGAUUCUAAAUUGCAGAUAGCUUUGGACCCUCUGUAGCUAAAAAUAUAUUAGUUUUGUGUCCUAGAACAGAUAGAGUUAAAGAAAAAAAAAUGAAAUGAAAUUUGCAGGAGAGAGCCAUAUUCCCAGCAAGUUUAGCACAAAACACAUUCCAUGUGGCAGCUACAAUCAUUCAGCCCUCGCUUGUACCAUGAGCGCAGCUAGUUUUGUGGAAUUUGGAUAUGUGUCUGGUAGCCUUGAAGAGGAAAGUGACAAAUUGCAAGUCACACAGCGCAGAAGACAAAGUCAUUGCACUUUGCUAAGAGAUGUAAUUCAUAAUUCAAGACUAUCGCUGGCUACUUUCGAAUAUGAUUUUUUUUUUUUUUUUUUUUAAACAUGGGCAGUUUGCCCAGCAAAUAAUUAGACCCACGUGGUUAUCCUGUGCUUUUUAUUUGAUGUUUCACUGUUAAAGACGCAGUCCCAUUAAUCGAUACAAAAGAGGCCAAAUUCCUCUGUGAACUUAAAACUAAUAAUUGUACAGCAUAUCGAGGGCUCAAAGACUCAUUCCGCCCCAUGCUUUAAUUCACAUUUCAUGAUCUUUUGGAAUAAGAAUUGAUUUGUUUUCUGUUAGCUUUUCUGACAUUUCUGCAUACCAGUGUGUUUUUACGAGCUCAUUCUUACAGUAAUUCUCAUGUUGCAUGUGUCAAGGUAAGGACAUCAAACACGUGGAAUUUAUUUUUGGCUUGGAUAGUUACCUUUCGAUUGAAUUAAAACUGAGCUACAAAUAGGUAUCAGCAACCAAAUGCUGACAACAGAUGUGCUGUAAACUGCAACACAAAUCAUGCCAUGACUUUUUUUUUUUUUUUAGUUCUAGUCUGGAAUUAUUCUGUUGCAUAGGUUCCUGCAAGGAGUGAAACUAUUUUGUUCCUUUAGCUAAAACUAUUUUAAACCAUCUCCAGUGUAAUCCUUUCCAGAGUUACGCACAGGCAAUGCCACUACACCAGUGAGAUUAUUAAAAUGAUUCAUUUAUUUUAUUUUUAUGUUUUUAUUUAUGUUAGAUAAUGGCAAAUUCUUUUGGAAUAAAAUUUACACAAUUGGUGUGGAUUUCCUCCAAACACUUCUCAGAUUGCUGCCAUUUUCAAUUGUAAAAAUUGUCAAAAAUGUCAGACAAGGAUUGAUGAGAGGUAGCUGCAUUUGGUAGCUCCAGCUAUUACUACAAACCUCCCUCUGAUACAUGCGGUCGAGGGAGAGCAAGUUCCUGACCUGAUCUGGAUAAUCUGGGGUCAUAAAGAUCACCAUUCGGUAGUGUUUCUGAGUGAGGGCUUUUGCAUUAUUCUCUUUAUCCAGAAGGGGACACAUUUUGGAUAUUUGAUACACGGGGCUCCUGUGUACCUCAAUCCAUAUAUUUCAUUUUUUGAAUGGAGAGAUCUGUUCAUAGACUGCUUAGUUUACAAUAAUUGUUUCAGUUUAUUGGUGAAAUAUUAGAAAGGUUUUAGUUUGAUGUUGGCUAUGCCAUGUGUUGUUUGGAACAGUGUUCCCCAACCCAAUCCUCAUGGACCACCAACAGUCCAGAUUUUGUCAGUAUCUCCAUUGGAAUAAAACAGGGAUACACAUAAAUCCUGGACUGUUGGUGGACUGGUCCAGGAGGACUGGGUUUAGAAUACAACAGAAGAGCCUCGGACAGACAGAAAACAUACUUUAUAGCAUGAGGUACUUUAAAUGUCUCCUAAAAUGGAAAAAAAUUAAAUGAUUUGAAGAAAAAAAAAAUAUAAAUAAAUUAGUUGGAAAUGGGAAAAAAUGUUCCGGAUACUUUACCAUUUAUUAUCUUUUGGGAGAAAACUGAAGCAAGAGAUAAAGUACGGUAGAAAGAAGUCUGGACACAAUCAUAUACAAUGCCCUUUGAAAUACAGAUGCCUAGUUUUACUAGGCAUCUGUGCUUACUUUGGGAAGCCAAAAUAUAUAUGCGUAACCACAAAAUUUUUUAUUCCUCUAGAAUCUCCAUUCUACACAAUUAAAGAUAAUAUAAAAAAUUACAAAUAACCUUAAGCAAACUAUUUCAUCUGUUUGUCACAAUUUCUGUGCAUUUUAAAAAAUGUAUUAUUGCCAAUAUCCUAUAUCUAGUGUGUAGUUGAUUUGUGCACAGCAGCAAAAUUUGGUUUGGCCACACCAUUUUUCUCAGAAUAAAUUGUUUUCAUGAUAGCGAAUUUCAAUCAUAUACCCAUCCAGCUUGGCAGAAUAUCAGUAAUGAAAAACCGAUUUUAAAAAUAAUAUCAGAUGAACUAAAAGGAUGCAAAAAUAGGCCAGAGUUCUGCAAAAUAUAAAAUAUAAGUAUAAUUUAUAUACUUAUUAAGUAUAAACUACAUAAUCUCUAAAAGGUUAUGCUCCUCUGAAUAAAAAAAAAGUUAUGAAAAUUCUGUACAAUUACAUAAUUACAUUGUUUUUUAUCUCUUUGAGAAGCAUAUAAAUGCAUUAAAAUUGCUCCUCUUAUUUAAUAUACAUAUAUGUACCAUAAAGUUAAGUUUAUAGUGAUCUGCUUAACAGCACUAACAUUUCUGUUUAAAACUUUGUUUUUAAUGUAUUUUCGUGAUUCACUUUCAGAUAUUUUUGGAAUCUUCUACAAGCUCUUAAAGAUAACCAUUGAUCGGAAGCUAGCAGGUGGCAUCCAAUUUAACCUCUUCAAACCAGGGGUGCGUGAACAUCAGAGAUAAAAAGCAUUUUUCCUACCUGUACAGCUAAAUGAAUUGCUCAGGUAGUGGUUGCUAAAAGCCUCUUACUUCAUAAUUUUUU